rnacentral:rRNA from 1 species
AUUGAACGCUGGCGGCAGGCCUAACACAUGCAAGUCGAACGAGUGGCGGACGGGUGAGUAAUGUCUGGGAAACUGCCUGAUGGAGGGGGAUAAAUACUGGAAACGGUAGCUAAUAACGCAUACCAUCAGAUGUACCCAGAUGGGAUUAGCUAGUUGGUGGGGUAACGGCUCACCAAGGCGACGAUCCCUAGCUGGUCUGAUAGGAUGCCCAGACACACUGGAACUGAGCAACGGUCCAGACUCCUACGGGAGGCAGAAGUGGGGAAUAUUGCACAAUGGGCGCAAGCCUGAUGCAGCCAUGCCGCGUGUAUGAAGAAGGCCUUCGGGUUGUAAAGUACGUUCAGCGGGGAGGCGUUACCCGCAGAAGAAGCACCGGCUAACUCCGUGCCAGCAGCCGCGGUAAUAC